UACGUAGGGUGCGAGCGUUGUCCGGAAUUAUUGGGCGUAAAGGGCUCGUAGGCGGUUUGUCGCGUCGGGAGUGAAAAUCCAGGGCUUAACUCUGGACUGGCUUCCGAUACGGGCAGACUAGAGGUAUGCAGGGGAGAACGGAAUUCCUGGUGUAGCGGUGAAAUGCGCAGAUAUCAGGAGGAACACCGGUGGCGAAGGCGGUUCUCUGGGCAUUACCUGACGCUGAGGCGCGAAAGCCAGGGGAGCAAACGGG
rnacentral:rRNA from 1 species